UACGGAGGGAGCUAGCGUUGUUCGGAAUUACUGGGCGUAAAGCGCACGUAGGCGGCUUUGUAAGUUAGAGGUGAAAGCCCGGAGCUCAACUCCGGAAUUGCCUUUAAGACUGCAUCGCUUGAAUCCGGGAGAGGUGAGUGGAAUUCCGAGUGUAGAGGUGAAAUUCGUAGAUAUUCGCAAGAACACCAGUGGCGAAGGCGGCUCACUGGCCCGAUACUGACGCUGAGGCACGAAAGCGUGGGGAGCAAACAGG
rnacentral:rRNA from 1 species